rnacentral:rRNA from 1 species
UACGGAGGGAGCUAGCGUUGUUCGGAAUUACUGGGCGUAAAGCGUGCGCAGGCGGUUUCUUAAGUCAGAUGUGAAAGCCCCGGGCUUAACCUGGGAACUGCGUUUGAAACUGGGAGACUUGAGUGUGGCAGAGGGGGGUGGAAUUCCACGUGUAGCAGUGAAAUGCGUAGAUAUCGGGAGGAAUACCGAUGGCGAAGGCAGCCCCCUGGGCUAACACUGACGCUCAUGCACGAAAGCGUGGGGAGCAAACAGG